rnacentral:rRNA from 1 species
CCCUUAGAUGUUCUGGGCCGCACGCGUGCUACACUGAGUGGAUCAGCGGGUCAGGUUGCGCGAAAGUGUUUCCUAAUCUUUAAAUCCGCUCGUGACGGGGAUUGACGGUUGCAAUUUUCCAUCAUGAACGAGGAAUACCUUGUAAGCGCGGGUCAUCAUCCCGCGCUGAAUACGUCCCUGCCCUUUGUACACACCGCCCGUCGCUCCUACCGAUUGAGUGGUCCGGUGAGGCUUUGGGAUCUGAGCGGAAAGAGCGUUUCGCUGUUUCUGCCCGGAAAACUCAGUCGAACCUUAUCAUUUAGAGGAAGGAGAAGUCGUAACA